rnacentral:misc_RNA from 1 species
CAUCGUACUGUCGGGGGUCGGCUCGCCGGCCCUGUCUGCACAUUACCCAUGUUUUUUGCGUACCUAUUGUUUCCUCGGCAGGCUUGCCUGCCAGUAGGACCCCAACCAACCCUUUGCAAUAGCAGUCAGCGUCAGAAAAAACACAAUAGUUA